rnacentral:rRNA from 1 species
AUUGAACGCUGGCGGAAUGCUUUACACAUGCAAGUCGAACGGCAGCACGGGGGCAACCCUGGUGGCGAGUGGCGAACGGGUGAGUAAUAUAUCGGAACGUGCCCAGUCGUGGGGGAUAACGUAGCGAAAGUUACGCUAAUACCGCAUACGAUCUACGGAUGAAAGCGGGGGAUCGCAAGACCUCGCGCGAUUGGAGCGGCCGAUAUCAGAUUAGGUAGUUGGUGAGGUAAAGGCUCACCAAGCCAACGAUCUGUAGCUGGUCUGAGAGGACGACCGGCCAAGCAUGGACUGCGACACGGCACAGACGCCUAAGGGAGGCGGCAGUGGGGAAUUUUGGACAAUGGGCGCAAGCCUGAUCCAGCCAUUCCGCGUGCAGGACGAAGGCCUUCGGGUUGUAAACUGCUUUUGUACGGAACGAAAAAGCCUUGGCUAAUACCCAGGGUCCAUGACGGUACCGUAAGAAUAAGCACCGGCUAACUACGUGCCAGCAGCCGCCGUAA